rnacentral:rRNA from 1 species
CAAUAGCGUAUAUUGAAGUUGUUGCGGUAAAAAAGCUCGUAGUUGGAUUUCUACCGAAGAUAGCCGGUCGGGUCUUCGACCUUGUAUCUGGUUUUGUCUUUGGUAUCCUCAUAGGGAACGUUUCUGCGCUUUAUUGCGUGGUGCGGUAUCUAUGACUUUUACUUUGAGGAAAUUAGAGUGUUCACGGCAGGCAGACGCCUUGAAUAUAUUGGCAUGGAAUAAUAACAUAGGAUCUUCGUCCUAUUUUGUUGGUUUCUAGGGCUAAGAUAAUGAUUAAUAGGGAUAAUUGGGGGCAUCUGUAUCAACGCGUCAGAGGUGGAAUUCUUGGAUUGCGUUGCGACAAACUACUGCGAAAGCAUUUGCCAAGGAUGUUUUCAUUGA